rnacentral:rRNA from 1 species
AGGAACCUGCCUAUCAGAGGGGGACAACUAAGGGAAACUUUAGCUAAUACCGCAUAUUCUCGAGAGAGGAAAGUUGCCCGCAAGGGUGAUGCUGAUAGAGGGGCCUGCGUCCGAUUAGCUAGUUGGUGGGGUAAGAGCUCACCAAGGCGAUGAUCGGUAACUGGUCUGAGAGGACGACCAGUCACACUGGGACUGAGACACGGCCCAGACUCCUACGGGAGGCAGCAGUGGGGAAUCUUGGACAAUGGGGGAAACCCUGAUCCAGCGAUGCCGCGUGGGUGAAGAAGGCCUUCGGGUUGUAAAGCCCUUUAGGUUGGGAAGAAGUGUAGUGAGGGAUAAUCUCAUUAUAUUGACGGUACCGACAGAAUAAGCACCGGCAAACUCUGUGCCAGCAGCCGCGGUAAUACAGAGGGUGCGAGCGUUAAUCGGAAUUACUGGGCGUAAAGGGCGCGUAGGCGGUUUAGUGGGUGUAAUGUGAAAGCCCUGGGCUUAACCUAGGAAGCGCAUCGCAAACUACUAAGCUAGAGUAGAUGAGAGGGUGGCGGAAUUUCCGGU